UUGACCUACGGGACGCAGCAGUGGGGGAUAUUGCACAAUGGGGGGAACCCUGAUGCAGCGACGCCGCGUGGGCGAUGGAGUGCUUCGGCAUGUAAAGCCCUAUCAGCAGGGAAGAAAAUGACGGUACCUGACUAAGAAGCCCCGGCUAACUACGUGCCAGCAGCCGCGGUAAUACGUAGGGGGCAAGCGUUAUCCGGAAUUACUGGGUGUAAAGGGAGCGUAGACGGCAAUGCAAGUCCGGAGUGGAAUGCGGCAGCUCAACUGCCGAACUGCUCUGGAAACUAUAUGGCUUGAGUGCAGGAGGG
rnacentral:rRNA from 1 species